GUGCGUAGGCGGCCUGUUAAGUCAGCGGUGAAAUCUAGGAGCUUAACUCCUAAAUUGCCAUUGAUACUGGCGGGCUUGAGUGUAGAUGAGGUAGGCGGAAUGCGUGGUGUAGCGGUGGAAUGCAUAGAUAUCACGCAGAACUCCGAUUGCGAAGGCAGCUUACUAAGGUACAACUGACGCUGAAGCACGAAAGCGUGGGUAUCAAACAGGAUUAGAUACCCUGGUAGUCCACGCAGUAAACGAUGAUAACUGGGCGUAUGCGAUAUACAGUAUGCUCCUAAGCGAAAGCGUUAAGUUAUCCACCUGGGGAGUACGCCGGCAACGGUGAAACUCAAAGGAAUUGACGGGGGCCCGCACAAGCGGAGGAACAUGUGGUUUAAUUCGAUGAUACGCGAGGAACCUUACCCGGGAUUGAAAUGUAGAUGACCGCUCCUGAAAGGGAGUUUUCCUUCGGGACAUCUAUGUAGGUGCUGCAUGGUUGUCGUCAGCUCGUGUCGUGAG
rnacentral:rRNA from 1 species